rnacentral:rRNA from 1 species
CUCAAAGAUUAAGCCAUGCAAGUGGUUAUAUUAACCCGACAGUUUAAAUAAGUGUUAAAAUGCUACAUUUAACAAUCACGCAUACACACACAUACGAACGAUUUUGUUUACGGUAGUAACACAAUUUCAGCGUGAAUCACAACACACACAGUGAAUCACUGAAAUUUUACAUUCAGUAUCACUUACGCAACUGCAGACAGCUGCUUAAUACAGUCACACUUGUCUUGACUUGGCGUCAUUUGCUGUGAAAAAAAUUUAUUUUUUUCAUUACAGCAAUAUAUAUUCAUAUGCGCACAAUUUAUUUUAUACCGCACACACAAACAAUAUAUUAUAUAUUUGUCGCAUAGAUUUCUCUGUAUCGCUUAUUCUUAAAGGACAUGCGUUACACCGUGAUAAUUUUCUUUUAUGGAUAACUCAGGGAAAGUUUGGCUAAUACGUACGAGUACUUUUUUUACUUAUUAUUACAUUUUGUAACAGUUACACCACACACAAACCCCAUAUGUUACAAAAUUACGACAUACUUACACUACUCAGCACUCAAUGGUAAACUUUGGCUGCGUUCGCGUUAGCCAGUUUAAAGUUUAACUGCAACAUGAGAGACAUUGAGCACGCACGUGUCGCGGUCUUCGGAUCGCUUCACAUUACGCUGAGCAGACUUUGCGAAGUUUACUUUGCGAAGCAUGUCAUACAAGCAUCUACAGCAUCAAGUCACAGGGUUGGCAAGUGUAUUUUUGAACCUUCAAAGCAGUCACGCAUACGGAAGAGUAGUUUCUGAUCCCAUAGAAGGAGCACCGUACAAUGAGAGACCGCUCUUAGUUUUAAGGAACGCAGCAGGCGCGUAAAUUGCCCAAUGCUAGUACCCUACAAUAUUAUUAAAUUAAUUAAAUUGUAUUACUAUUGCGUUAAAAUUAACAACAAUUCACAACACACAUUACAAAAUGUUAAAAAAUAGUAUUAUAUAUAACACGCUAUUAUUUUUUCUGUCACAGAAAAAAACAAAAAACAUCCUUGUUCGUUGUUCGCAGGUAAAAAUUUAAAAAAAUUAAUUUUAAUUUUUUUUUUACUGAGGCAGUGACAAGCUGUAACGGUUGAGUAUAAAAAUGACGAGUGUCUGGCAUUGCCGCUCUUUCGGGAGCUUGGCAAGUUGCCGACGCUUUGUGUGCUCAAUUGGAAUGCGGUGAGUUUAAGCAACUCAGAACCUUUGGACGGUGUUAGUAAAAUUUCACUGUUCAUGUAUCUGAAUUUCAAGUGGAGGGCAAGUCUGGUGC